rnacentral:rRNA from 1 species
GAUGAACGCUGGCGGCGUGCCUAAUACAUGCAAGUCGAGCGAACAGACGAGGAGCUUGCUCCUCUGACGUUAGCGGCGGACGGGUGAGUAACACGUGGAUAACCUACCUAUCAGACUGGGAUAACUUCGGGAAACCGGAGCUAAUACCGGAUAAUCUAUUGAAGCGCAUGGUUCAAUAGUGAAAGACGGUUUUGCUGUCACUUCUCGAUGGAUCCGAGCGGCAUUAGCUAGUUGGGAAGGUAACGGCUUACCAAGGCAACGCUGCGUAGGCGAGCUGCGAGGGUGAUCGGCCACACGGGAGCUUGGACACGCUCCUGACUCCUAAGGUAGGCAGCAGUAUGGAAUCGUCCGCAAUGGGCGAAAGCCUGACGGAGCAACGCCGCGUGAGAGAUGAAGGUCUUCGGAUCGUAAAACUCUGUUAUUAGGGAAGAACAAAUGUGUAAGUAACUAUGCACUUCUUGACGGUACCUAAUCAGAAAGCCACGGCUAACUACGUG